AUUUGCUGGAAAUUACCAUUAUACCCUUCAUUAUUAUUAAUAUUUUCAUAUUCAAUCUCAUUUGGUCUUGCUGUUUCUCUCUCAUCUGUAGGGAGAACUCAGUACGCGCUCUCUUCUUCUCCCAACAACAAAGCAAAUCGAGUCCAGACAACCCAACCACCACACCACCGCCGGCCAGCCGCCGCGACCAGUCACAUGUCACCUUCUUCUCCAUCCAUCACCCGCCGACGCAUCCUCCUGACCUCCUCCAUCUUCUGUGUUAUCUCCAUCUCUCUCCAAAAACCCUAAUUUAGGUGAGGAUACUAUUGGAGCACACAGUUGGAAAAGUUAAGAUGAGGAUUCAAAGAAUCGAUUUUAUUUUCAAGAGGCCGUUGAUAUUCAAAGAGAUGAAGUUAUAACUUCUUCAUCCGAACCUGAACAAGUUCAUGAGAAUCCAAGAAUUGAAAGGGAAAUUAGUGACAGCCACCCCAAACAUUUUUGUCUGGCUCCGCCACUGUGAAAGCAUAUAUAUGUAAGUCAUGCUCAGAAGUACUUUCUCUGCCGAAGUAAUCUCAAUCGCUGUCGCCGUAGAUUCAGUCUUUUUGAUAUCACCACCGACAGGGUUUGUAUGGUGCAACCAAAAGCAGAAAUGGAUCUCCAAUUUCAGUCAACAAAUAUGAGCAAUACUUAAGUGCAGUUGCAUUUGCUGUUACUACUUUUGGAACGGUUGCUUUGAUGAGUGGAUUCUUCCUUAAACCUGUUGCUACACUUGAUGAUUAUCUUGCUAACGUUGUGCCUCUAUUUGGUGGUUUCUUAUCUAUUCUUGGAGUUUUUGAGAUAGCCAUGUGGGUAAUAGCCGCUCGAUACGGUGUUAAACUCAGCCCUUUGUUCCUGGUGCCAUCUAAUGCACUUUACUUUUCUGAUACAUACUUCUAUAGUAAAAAAGAAUGGGAAAUGAAACUACACUAAACUUGAAUAAUUAGUCAAUGAAUAUCGUUUACUAAAACCACAGUCUUAUGGCUUCUUCAAUUGAACCAAAUAUAAGACCAUAAUCACCGAUAUUGGUUUCAUACAAAUUUUGAUGACAAUAUUGAGAUUAUAUAUAAAUUACAUAAGAAGAUAUUUGUAGAAAACGUGUGUACCCGCAAUUUCUCGCGAUUCGAAGGUUACGAUUCUUCUUCAAUGGUAGGAAACGUGUGUACCCGCAAUUUCUCGCGAUUCGAAGGUGAUGCAGUGAUGUGUUGGUGGUUUCAUUGGUCUCGUUGCUGGGUUCUUUUUCCUUCAGUGGUACUUUUUUCUUCAAUGGUACUUUUCUAUCUCUAUCUUGAUGUUUAGCUUUUAAUUGUUGAACAUUUUUACCGUGGAAUUUUCACAACCCCUGUACAAUUGGUACGUGUUGAGAAUUUUGUUGUUAGGCUAGCAUAGCCAUUAUCUCAUUCAAUCUUCUGCUAUAACAACAACAACAACCCUGUACAAUUUUGUAAAUCAAAAUUUAAAUUGUUAGGGUUUAUGAAAUGCUGCAAGAUCUUUUUUCCACAAUAUAUGAGCCUAAAUUUUGAAGCGGUUUAGGGUGCCUGAGGACUUUAAAGAAUUCAUAAUUCGAUGAUAUCUUUUAAAACUUGAAUGGAAUUCAUUACUGUGAUUGUCUAUGUGAGUUGAAAUCAAUUUUCUUAAUUUGAAAAGGGGAUUAUAUCAUCCUAAAACCAAUGAUAGGAAAUGAUGAAUAUUAUUUUUGCUCCUUAAAAUUUUGUAUAUGUUGGGAUGCCUCGGUGAUUUUAUGAUCUUGAGUGCAAUUCUAGACUAUGAAUUGUCACUCAUAUAUGAUACAUGAGCCUAAACUUUGAAACUAUUAUGAUGUCUCGAUGACCCGAAAAGAAUUGACGGAUAUUAUUUGUCCCAUAUGUUGGCAAGUGUUGGGAUGCCUCGAUUUUAUGAUAUUGAGUGCAAUUCUAUACUAUGAAUUGUCACUCGUAUAUGAUAUAUGAGCCUAAAUUUUGAAACUUGAAACUAUUAUGAUGCCUCGAUGACCCGAAAGGAAUUGACAGAUAUUAUUUGUCCCAUAUGUUGCAACUGUUGGGAUGCCUCGGUGAUUUUAUGAUCUACAGUGCAAUUCUAUAACAUGAAUUGUGACUCAUGUAUGAUAUAUGAGCCUAAAUUUUGAAACUAUUAUGAUGCCUCGAUGACCAGAAAGAAAUUGACAGAUAUUAAUUGUCCCAUAUGUUGCAAGUGUUGGAUGCCUCAAUGAUUUUAUGAUCUUGAGUGCAAUUCUGUACUAUAAAUUGUCACUCAUAUAUGAUAUAUGAGCAUAAAUUUUGAAACUAUUAUGAUGCCUCGAUGACCCGAAAUGAAUUGAUGGUUAUUAUUUGUCCCAUA